rnacentral:rRNA from 1 species
ACUCCUACGGGAGGCAGCAGUGGGGAAUCUUGCACAAUGGGCGAAAGCCUGAUGCAGCAACGCCGCGUGCGGGAAGAAGGCCCUAGGGUUGUAAACCGCUUACAGUAGGGAAGAAAAUGACGGUACCUACAGAAGAUGGUGCGGCCAACUACGUGCCAGCAGCCGCGGUAAU